rnacentral:lncRNA from 1 species
CUUUAGGAGGUGAUUAGGUUAUAAGGAUUUCCCCCUCCCCCCUGAAUGCGAGUAAUGCCCUUAUAAAAGAGGCUCCAAGGAGCCUCUGGCCUCUUCCACUGUGUGAGGACACUUAGAAGGCACCAUUUAUGAGGAACAGGCUCUCACCCAACACUGAAUCUGCUCGUGCUUUGAUCUUGGCUUUCCCAGUCUCCAGAACUGUGAGCAAUAGAUUCGUAUUGUUUGUAAAUUACCCAGGCCAAGGUAUUUGUUAUAGCAGUCUGAACGGACUAAGACACAGUCUGAAUCUUUAGACCAUUACAGCACAUGCCUUUUAGUCCCUGCUCUGACACCCUGCUAUCCCCUUUUCGUGUAAGGGUGUGUCCUUCCCAGGUGCUGUGGGGGCUUAGGCCUCACUCCUGCCACCUGCUCCUGGACCCCUCUGGGAGCAGAAGCUGCCUGGCCCAGAGCUACAGUUUCUACCUCUCUGACUGCCUGUGGCCUCUGAGUGCCAGGAGGGGUGGGUGGAGAAGUGGGUGGGUGGGGUACAAAGUCCCUGCCUCCUCCUUUCCCUCUCUUCUGGUGAGCACCCUCCAAUAAACCACAUGCACGUGAAUCUCCGACUUGGCUUUGCUUCUGUGGACUCCAAACCAUGAUGUCCAUUCUGGCUGACCCUACAGAGAUGUGAGCCAUUUUUGUUUCUCCAACUCCGUGGGGACAGGGAACAUGAACCAGCAUUUUAAAAAAUCUCCUGAAGGUCAAACACAGUGUGGGAGCUCCGUGGAGUUCAGAGGCGGUGUAGACACUGGUUAGACAGUGGCUGCGUCUGCUUGGGAAAAGCCCACCUGAAUAAGAUGGUAGGUGAUGAUUGCAGUCUUCCCAGUGUGCAGGGCGGCUCACCUGUGGGUAUGGUUUGACCAGAGGUGGUCGACUGGUGGCCUGGAAGGGAGAUGCAACCCAAACAUGAAGCUGGAAAACAGAGUGGAGGCAGCUGACUGCGGCCCAGCUUUGGUGCUAAGUGGGAGAUGGGGUAGGGACAAAACGGACAUAACUAAUCAUUUCUUGGUGAUUGCAGGAAACUCUAAUAAGGGAUUGGAAAGUGAGGCAGGCGGGGGAGGAACGAAUACCAGCAUCAUUCUGCAAGUGACUGUGGCAUUUGCAGAAAGCACCACCAGGGCAUGCAGAUGAGUGGGGCAGCUGGGGAAGAGACAAUGUGAAGAUGGUCAACUGCAAACCAGGAAGCAGGCCCUCACUGGACGCCAGAUCUGCUGAUGCCUGGAUCUUGGACUGAGCCUCCAGAACUGUGAGAAAUAAAUGUUUCUUGUUUAAGUCACUCAGCCGAUGGUUUAUAAAAUGUUAUAAAAUGUUAUUUAA